GCCUCCGUUCUCUGCAUCCCUCCACCCCAGUAUCCCUGCACCUCUUCAUCCCUCCAUUCCUGCAUCCCUCUAUUUUUCCAUCCCUCCAUUCCUGUAUCCCUGUACCCUCCAUCCUCCAUCCCAGCAUCCCUCCAUCCCUGCUCCCCACUCUCACUUCCCUUCCCUUCACAGACAGGCUUUUCCUGCCAUCCUCAGACCCCACCCAGGGUUACCUGAUGCCUUUCCAACCGCACACGGGGACUGACUCACCUCUCUCUUUCUCAGUCCCAAAGUCCCGAAAGAGAGCAUCUGAUGUGGCCAGCUUGUGACAAGGCGUCCACCUUCUGUCCAUGACACGGAGGCCAGGGGAAGGUCUCACUGCCCAGCACCCCACCCUGUGCUCCCAGGCCUUUUGAAUGUUCCUCCUGCUCAGCCCAGUGACUGCGGGCUGUGGCUCCUCCUUCAGCCUCCCCUCGAGGUCCUGGUCUUCCUUAGGAGGCCCCGGGUGUAGAUCCCGCCCCACCCACCAGGCAUUGCCCCUUUUCCGGGCUUCACAGACUCGGGAAUAAAGUUUCCUUCUGUUUCCCCUCUUGCAGAAGGAGAUCCGGUUGGCAGCUAAACCGCGCUGGGAACAGGGGCCUGAGUCCUGGACUAGGGCUCUUUCCCCGGGGCUGCUGCAGAUGGGGAGGAGCCUACACCCGCCUCCCGAGUGCUCACCUUGAUGAAAGGACUGUGCUAACCAGACCUGACAGGCUGGAGAAUGGCCAGUCAGCCUGAGGCCACCGCGGGACACCACCUAGGCCCAGCUUCUCCCCCCACCAGAGGGCGCCAGAGCCCGCCAAGCCUCGUAGGAGAUGGCAACAGGGCCUGCUGCUGCCACCUAGCGGCCAAUUCCAGGAAUGAAUCUCGGCACGCUCAUUACCCAGCGACUCUGCCCAUCUUGACCCUUUAUGUGAACCAGAACAGCCGCUUCCCCAGUGAGCUGUCAGAAGGCGUCGUGCCUGUCUUGCUAGUGGGGAAACUGAGGCUCAGAGAGGCAGAAGACUUGCCCAAGAUCACACCACCGGGACCCAGGAUUCAAGCACAGGCCUGCCCAGGCUCUCUGUGGCCUCCUGGCUGCGAGGAGGCAGCCAGGGACCAGGUGCCACCCUUCUGAGACACCUGAGAUCCCAGGCCCGAGAGGAUGAAGGCAGGAUUACCUGGAGCGUGUCUGAAUGCUGGAGGAAGAAGGGCAGCUGGGAGAUGAAGCUGUCAGGACGGGCCGCAUCCCAUUUCCUGCCUUGUUUCAGUUCAACUUUCCAACAGACCUCCCUGGCUCGUCUUGCUCUCCUCUAAUGGACGAACAAACAGGCUCAGAGAGGUGGUGUGACUUGCCCAAGGUCACUCAGCUUGGAUGCUGUGGAACAGGGACGUCCACUGUCCCAGUCUGUUUAUGGGAAGCCGCUCUGCAACUGUCCUGACCCACCACAUGCCCCACCGCUGUUUCUCUUGCCCUGAUCCCUCGUUCCCUGGACCAGGGUGGCACAGCUCCAGGCUCUUGGGCCCUUCCCGAGGGCAGGCACCUGUGACUGUGUCCCCAAAGACCUGAGUGGCUGAGGGGGCCCCACAGAGCUUGGGCUUCCUGGAGGACAAGGAGGGGUCUGCCAGCCACCCCCACCACCCCCGCCCCAGGGCUCCCCUGGAGCUUCCAUGCCAGCCGGACUCAGGUGGGUCUGGAGGAGCACCGUGCCUCCAAUCAGACCUUGAGAUGUGCCCCCUGCCCCCACCGUGCCCUCCCCUGCCCAGGACUCUGGUUGCAAACCCUGAUUAAGGGGAUUUUAUCUCCACCAGGGGGCCAGUAGCUGGGAAGUAGCUUAAACAAUGCAGGUUUAUAAUCUCACAGUUCUGGAGGUCAAGAGUCUGAAAUGGGCCUCAUGGGGCUAAAACCAAGGUGGCUGCAGGGCUGUGUUCCUUCUGGAGGCUCCAGGGCAGGAAGGGGAGGAUCCACUUCUGUGCCUUUCCAGCUUCUAGAGGCUGCCUGCGUUCCUUGGCUCGUGGCCCCUUCCUCCACCUUCAAGCCAGCAGCGGAGGCCUGAGUCCUUCUCAUGCCGUCUCUCUGUUCUCUCUCCUGCCUCCUCCUCCACACUGAAGGACCCCUGUGAUCACACUGGCCCCCCCACCGGAUGACCCAGGAUAAUCCAUCUCCCUGUUUGAAGGUCGGCUGAUUAGCAACCUUCAUUCCAUCUGCCUCCUUCAUUCCCCCUGGCCAUGUAAUGGGAUUCACAGCUUCUGGGGAUUAGGACAUGGACAUCUUGUGGCGGGGGCAUAAUUCUGUCGAUGACACCAAGAAACACUUGGAUGUUAAGGAUUCACCGAACACUGUUCAGGCUGAGGCAGGAGAAUUGCUUGAACCUGGGAGGCAGAGGUUGCAGUGAGCCGAGAUCAUAUCAUUGCACUCCAGCCUGGGCAACAAGAGUGAACCUCCAUCACAAAAAACAAACAACAAAAAAAAUCAGGUAUAAUUACAUACAGUGAAAUAUAUGGUGACUCAAGUACACAGUUCAGUGUUUUUUUUGUUUUUGUUUUUGUUUUUUUUUAAGAUGGACUCUUGCUCUGUCGCCCAGGCUGGAGUUCAGUGGCGCGAUCUUGGCUCACUGCAACCUCUGUCUUCCAGGUUCAAGCAAUUCUGCCUCAGCCUCCCAAGUAGCUGGGACUACAAGUGCACGCCACCAUGCCUGACUAAUUUUUUUAUUUUUAAUAGAGAUGGGGUUUUUUUUCUUUUUUUUUUUUUUUGAGACAGGGUCUCACUCUGUUACCCAGGCUGGAGUGCAGUGUCACAAUCUCGGCUCACUGCAACCUCUGCCUCUCGGGUUCAAGCAAUUCUUCUGCCUCAGCCUCCUGAGUAGCUGGUAGCUGGGACUAUAGGCACAUGCCACCACACUCAGUUAAUUUUUUGUAUUUUUAGUAGAGAUGGGGUUUCACCGUGUUAGCCAGGAUGAUCUCAAUCUCUUGACCUCGUGAUCUGCCCGUUUUGGUCUCCCAAAGUGAUGGGAUUACAGGCGUGAGCCACCGCGCCAGGCUGAGAUGGGGUUUCACCAUGUUGGCCAGGCUGGUCUGGAACUCCUGACCUCAGGUGAUCCGCCUGCCUUGGACUCCCAAAGUGCUGGGAUUACAGACGUGAGCCACUGUGCCCGGCCAGUUCUAUGAGUUUUGAUGAAUGUGUCCUGCUUCUUCCCAGGCUCCACCAUCUCUUCCCCUAACCACCAUUCUGAUUUCUCUCACCAAAGACUGGAAAAAUAUCCCAAUACCUGGAUGUAUGCCUCACGUGUCCCGCUGGCCCCAGCACCCAGGUAUAGUUAGUUACUGCUGUGCCUGGCUUCACUCUCACUUUUUUUUUUUUUUCUUUUUUUGAGACAUAGUCUCGCUCUGUAGCCCAGGCUGGAGUGCAGUGUGGCACAAUCUCAGCUCACUGCAACCUUCACCUCCCAGGUUCAAGCGAUUCUCCUGCCUCAGCCUCUCGAGUAGCUGCGACUACAGGUGCCCACCACCACACCUGGCUAAUUUUUGUACUUUUAGUAGAGAUGGGGUUUCACCUUGUUGGCCAGGCUGGUCUCGAACUCCUGACCUCAAGUGAUCCACCUGCCUCAGCCUCCCAAGGUGCUGGGAUUGCAGGCCGGCCUUACCUGGUAUGGUUUUUAGGUUCACGUUGAUGCCUGGAAUUUCAGUAAUUCCCUCCCAUUCGUUGCUGAGUAGCACUGCAACACAUGCAGGCAGCUAUUUGGGGAUCUUUUCACCUGUUGAUGGGUGUCUGGACUGUUUCCAGUUUUUGGCUGUUACAAAUGAAGCCUCUGUGAGCCACGUACAAGUUCUUCUGUGGAUGUUUUCAUUUAGGGAAAGGGGUAAAUAGGAGUGGAAGUGCUGGGUCACAGGGCAAAUGUCCAUUUGACUUUAUUAGAAACAAUUCUCCAAAAUGAUUGGCAUUUUACCUUGUACUAGCAGAGUCUAGGAGUGUGGCUGCUCCCAGAUUCUCAUCAAACUACAGUGCUGACAUCUUUAGUUCUAGGCCUUCUAGUGUGGAUGCACUGGUAUCUUGUUAAAUGCUUUUAACUGUUUUGGUAGAGAUGGGGCCUUGCUGUAUUGCGUAGUCUGGUCUUGUACACCUGGCCUCAAGUGAUCUCCAGCCUCACCCUCCCGAAGUGCUGGGAUUACAGGUGUGAGCCACUGCUCUGGGCCUCAUUCAGUGUUUUGCUUCUCCCUGACAACUAAUGGAGUUAAGCUCGUUUUCAUGUUUAUUGGCCAUUAAGUCAUCUUGCUUUUGGAAGUGCCAAUUGUUAACUGGCUUGUCCUCUUCUUUUUGCCUUACACAAUUAAUACAUGCUGGAGAUUACAUGUACUGCAAAGAUUUUCUCCUAGCCGGUGACUUGUCUUUUUCGUUUUUGUUUCUGUUUUUUUUUUUUCUUUUUUUUCUUUUCUUUUUUUUUGAGAUGGAGUCUCACUCUAUCGCCCAGGCUGGAGUGCAGUGGCAUGAUCUCAGCUCACUGAAACCACUGCCUCCCGGGUUCACGUGAUUGUCCUGUCUCAGCCUCCCGAGUAGCUGGGAUUACAGGCAUGCGCCACCAAGCACAGCUAAUUUUUGUAUUUUUAGUAGAGAUGGGGUUUUGCCAUGUUGGCCAGGCUGGUCUUAAACUCCUGACCUCAGGUGAUCCGCCCACCUCGGUCUCCCAAAGUGCUGGGAUUACAGGCGUGAGCCACCGCGCCCGCCCAGCUUAUCUAUUCAUUGGAGGAUCUGAGUGACAUGAGAAACUUAGGUUUUCUUUUUUUGAGACAGAGUCUUACUCUGUCGCCCAGGCUGGAGUGCAGUGGCAUGAUCUCGGCUCACCACAACCUCUGCCUCCUGGGUUCAAGCCAUUCUCCUGCCUCAGCCUCCGGAGUAGCUGGGAUUAUAGGCACCUGUCACCACACCUGGCUAUCCACUUAGGUUUUCAAAGGGCCCCUUGGUCUUGGGGUGGAGAGUGAAGGGAAGCAGGGGGAAGAAGUUUAGGUCUUGCAAUCAUCCAGGUGAGACAUGAUAUUGUCUUUGAUCAGUGGCAGGGGUGGAGGUCGGGAGAAGCGGCCAGAGAGCAGAUCUAUUUUGCAGGUGGGGCUGACGGUAUUUGCUGGUGGACUGCCCUGGAACCAGAGGGAAGUACAGAGUCAGGUUGACUACAAGGUGUUUGGCUUAAGUUCGUAGAAGAAAGGAGUUGCCAUUUGCUGGCAUGAGGAAAAUGAAGAAGCAGAUUUUGGGAGGAAAAUGAAGGGUUUGGCUUCUGACAUGCUGAACUCGAGGUGCUGUUUAAGUGGAUGUGGAUUUCACAGUUGUACUGAUGAAGCUGGAAUUCGUUCAAGUAUCAAAGGAGUGUCAUCUAAAUAUAGAUAUUGAAGGUAAUCCUCAGUCAGAUGAGGUUACUGAGAGGGUGUGAGGAGGCAGGAGCGGGGUGAGGCUGGGAGGGGCAGCUGGGGGGAGGGGAGAGAAGCCCAGCGAUGUCCUCGGUGUCUGUGAAGAUGGCACUUCCGGCGGAGGGAGAGAUCCCCCCACACCCUGCCUGAGACAGGCUGAGGAACGACCCUGCACAGCAACUCAGGGCACCCCAAAUCGAACACACAACCAUUAAAGAGGGAGUGCCUCUAAGAAGCCGAAAGGGGGCGCCACCCAGGCUCCAGAGGGGAAAACAAGGGCUCAUUUUCUAACAUGUCAGCACCCCCAGACCACCCAGGCCCCCGUCAGAAAAAUACUGGCUCCAUGAUCAGCUUUGAAACAACUUUAUUAGAAGGCUGCUUUAAAUGACAACUUCUAACGUCCAAUUCUUUCUUAAUUUGCUUUUUGACGACUCCAGUUAUAACUAUAUGUUCAUAUAUAACAAUUUUUGCAUUGAUCUUUGCAUCCUAUUGAAGAUUUCCUCAUCAGGUCAUUCUGGUGGAAUGGAAGUGCAACCGUGAGGUCGCCAGUUGGCCGGCAUUGUUAAGCAAGGGCAGCAGAAGGCUGGGAGGGAGGGAGCCAGCCCCCGACCCUCUCCUCCAGCCCCCGCCCACCACAAAUUCACAGUGAGAGGCACCUCACUGCCUUGACAUUCAGAAAAGAGUGAAAUAAAGAAACCCUCGCAGCGCAGGAAAUAACUGGAUUCCACCUUCAAGGUUAUUGAAGUUCCUCCCUCUCUCUCCACGCCCCCAGUCAAACCCUGAAAUCCUAAGGCUGGGGGCAAGCCCUUCCCUAACCUGCCAAAGGAAAGGAGCCAGGGCUGCUGCCUUCUGGCCGCUUUUCUGCCUCCAGUCCCAAAAGGAAUUUCUCUGCAGCGGCCCAAGGCCCCCCUUCUCCUCCUCCUCCCAUCCCAUUGGGCGGGCUUGGGAAGGUACAAUCAACCAUGAACAUAAAUAUGAAUAAAAAAUGAACUUGAAAAUGACAA
rnacentral:antisense_RNA from 1 species